AUUGAACGCUGGCGGCAGGCCUAACACAUGCAAGUCGAACGAGUGGCGGACGGGUGAGGAAUGUCUGGGAAACUGCCUGAUGGAGGGGGAUAACUACUGGAAACGGUAGCUAAUACCGCAUACCAUCAGAUGUGCCCAGAUGGGAUUAGCUUGUUGGUGGGGUAACGGCUAACUAAGGCGACGAUCCCUAGCGGGUCUGAGAGGAUGACCGGCACCACUGGAACUGGGACACGGUCCGGCCUCCUACGGGAGGCAGAGGUGGGGAAUAUUGGAAAAUGGGCGCAAGCCUGACGCGGCCAUGCCGCGUGUAUGAGGAAGGCCUUCGGGUUGUAAAGUACUUUCAGCGGGGAGGCGUUACCCGAAGAAGAAGCACCGGCUAACUCCGUGCCAGCAGCCGCGGUAAUAC
rnacentral:rRNA from 1 species